rnacentral:tRNA from 4 species
GCCCGGGUGGUGAAACUGGCAUACACGCUACCUUGAGGUGGUAGUGCCGCAAGGCGUGGAGGUUCAAAUCCUCUCCCGGGCACCA